rnacentral:rRNA from 1 species
GAUGAACGCUGGCGGCGUGCCUAAUACAUGCAAGUCGAGCGAACAGACGAGGAGCUUGCUCCUUCGACGUUAGCGGCGGACGGGUGAGUAACACGUAGGUAACCUACCUAUAAGACUGGGAUAACUUCGGGAAACCGGAGCUAAUACCGGAUAAUAUUUCGAACCGCAUGGUUCGAUAGUGAAAGAUGGCUUUGCUAUCACUUAUAGAUGGACCUGCGCCGUAUUAGCUAGUUGGUAAGGUAACGGCUUACCAAGGCAACGAUACGUAGCCGACCUGAGAGGGGGGUCGGCCACACGGGAACUGAGACACGGUCCAGACUCCUACGGGAGGCAGCAGUAGGGAAUCUUCCGCAAUGGGCGAAAGCCUGACGGAGCAACGCCGCGUGAGUGAUGAAGGUCUUCGGAUCGUAAAACUCUGUUAUUAGGGAAGAACAAACGUGUAAGUAACUGUGCACGUCUUGACGGUACCUAAUCAGAAAGCCACGGCUAACUACGUG